AUUGAACGCUGGCGGCAGGCCUAACACAUGCAAGUCGAGCGGAUGAAGGGAGCUUGCUCCUGGAUUCAGCGGCGGACGGGGGAGUAAUGCCUAGGAAUCUGCCUCGUAGUGGGGGAUAACGUCCGGAAACGGGCGCUAAUACCGCAUACGUCCUGAGGGAGAAAGUGGGGGAUCUUCGGACCUCACGCUAUCAGAUGAGCUUAGGUCGGAUUAGCGAGUUUGUGGGGUAAAGGCCUACCAAGGCGAGGAUCCGUAACUGGUCUGAGAGGAUGAGAAGUCACACUGGAACUGAGACACGGUCCAGAGUCCUACGGGAGGCAGCAGUGGGGAAUAUUGGACAAUGGGCGAAAGCCUGGUCCAGCCAUGCCGCGUGUGUGAAGAAGGUCUUCGGAUUGUAAAGCCCUUUAAGUUGGGAGGAAGGGCAGUAAGUUAAUACCUUGCUGUUUUGACGUUACCAACAGAAUAAGCACCGGCUAACUUCGUG
rnacentral:rRNA from 1 species